CGGACGGGUGAGUAAUGUCUGGGAAACUGCCCGAUGGAGGGGGAUAACUACUGGAAACGGUAGCUAAUACCGCAUAACGUCGCAAGACCAAAGAGGGGGACCUUAGGGCCUCUCGCCAUCGGAUGUGCCCAGAUGGGAUUAGCUAGUAGGUGGGGUAACGGCUCACCUAGGCGACGAUCCCUAGCUGGUCUGAGAGGAUGACCAGCCACACUGGAACUGAGACACGGUCCAG
rnacentral:rRNA from 1 species